UACGUAGGGCGCAAGCGUUGUCCGGAAUUAUUGGGCGUAAAGAGCUCGUAGGCGGUCUGUCACGUCGGCUGUGAAAACCCGAGGCUCAACCUCGGGCCUGCAGUCGAUACGGGCAGACUAGAGUUCGGUAGGGGAGACUGGAAUUCCUGGUGUAGCGGUGAAAUGCGCAGAUAUCAGGAGGAACACCGGUGGCGAAGGCGGGUCUCUGGGCCGAAACUGACGCUGAGGAGCGAAAGCGUGGGGAGCGAACAGG
rnacentral:rRNA from 1 species